GAAAGUCAUGUACCUCAGCUGCUGGGGACCCAAUUGAUUUCAGCAACUACAUAAUUUGUAGCUGAAGAACAUGAUCAAUACAAUUUGGCACUGAAGGCAGGCUUGGAUUACAAAUUUUCAAGUUUUGAGGCAUGGGAUGAUGAUAGCUGGAAACAUGUGGUUAAGUUGACCAUGGUUGGUGUAGGAUUUGCAGCCUGAAGAAAUUUUGUUUGUUUACAAAAUUAUUGUAAAUUGUAAAUGUCUGAGUUCUCUAUGAUAUAUACAAUUAGUAUGAAAAUUGAUAUGUCAUCUGAUCAUUAGCCCUAACCAUUAAAAUCUAUAUCAUGUAUGGUCUGUUAAGGAAGGGAAGGGGUUUAAAUCAAAUUUUCUAUGCAGAUCCUACCAUUAUUUAGUACCAACUAGUAAAUAAUUUCGUCCAUAGCCAGAGAAAAUAGCGAAUGCAAUAAUGUACAUAGUUAGUAAAUAAAUCCUGAACUAUUUAAUUUUUAUAAAUAAAUUCAAAAAAUAUUUAAACAAUUAUGUUUUGUCGAGUGUUUUGGGUUUUUUUUUUAUGAGGUUUCGGAUUUGGUUUGUUUUAAGAAACAAAGGCAGUUUUGUAAUUUAUAGUAAGUUCAAAGCUUCUUUGUUAUAUUGUAAAUGGGUUUUCGGUGUGUUUCUAAAAUUCAUUUCAUGUAGUUUUUUUUAAUAGUUUGAGCUCCUAUAUUGGACAUAACAAUGAAUCCCCACCUUUUUUUUUUUUUAAUUAACUGGAAUGAUGACAAAUGCUUUAAAAGCAUAUAUUCUGUGGCCUUAAAAGCAUUAUUAUUUUGAAGAAACAAGGUGCGCACAAUGUCUUGUGUACCCCAGCAGAAAAGUUCAAACCAGAAAAUCCACUGGAUUUCCUUGGCUCAAAACCAGCAGCAACUGACGUAGUAGCCUCUGGUUUUUUCCCAAUAUUUUGGCCUUUUCUUUUUCUCAAUCAUGUAUCCAACUCAAGUCACUUAUUAUUUCCUUUCUAUAUAAAGAGACCCUCCAUGCCAAUUAUUUCAACUCAACCUUUCUCAAAAUUUGUUCUCUUGCAAAAGACCUAUCUUAUCAUAAUUUCAAUACAAAUUAAGGGGCUUACAUCCCAAGAAAAAGGAAAAUCAAGAUGAUGAGUGCAGCAACAGCAAGUAGGGCUUGGGUUGUGGCAGCCACAGUUGGAGUUGUGGAAGUGUUGAAAGACCAAGGGUUGUGCAGAUGGAACUAUCCCAUGAGACUGGUGCACCAGCAAGCCAAGAACCAUCUCAGGUCUUUUUCUCAGGCCAAGAAGCUGUCUUCUUCUUCUUCUGCCAUGGCUUCAAGCAUGAUCAUGAGAGAAGAGAAAAUAAAGCAGUCAGAGGAGUCUAUGAGGAAAGUGAUGUAUCUUAACUCUUGGGGUCCCAACUGACACCAACCAAAUUAAGCUUAGCUUAGCUUAAGGCCAUUGUAAAUUACUUUAAGGCAAAUGCUCUUACAAAUUUGGUAAAAUACAUUGGGCACUUAUGUUUUCCAAAUUCAGUUUUUCUUCUUGCUUGACUAAAGUGUUUAAUUUGGCACAGCUUCUUGGCCUUGGCCUAAUCCGAUCAUAAGAACAACACAACUUUAUUACUAAAUUAUUCACCCAAAGGAAAACUGAAACAAACUUUUCCCCAAAAAUUCUGGGCUGAAAAGAACAAAAUAGCCGCUGGUAUGGCCAAAAACCACAACCCCAGUGAAACCACCUCCACUCUCAUCACCCCCUUAGCUCUCUCUCUCUCUCUGCAUAUUUAUGGCUUCAGUUAGAUAGUCUCGAUGCUUAUAUAUGUCUAUCUCAAUACUCUCUCCAACUUACUGUAACAAAUUCUACUUUGUUCUUUAAAUUACUGGUAGUGGCCAUCAUUCAAAAGUUAAAAAAUGAGGUGGAAGAGCAAGGCUUGGGCUGUUUUGGGCACUGUUGUAGCUGUGGAGGAGUUGAAAGAAAAGAAUCUAAGCAAAUGGAGAUCCCUGCAGAGUUACCAACAUGCACUAAUUAACAACAUUGUGCCACUGUCUACACAAGUGGGAAAAUCUUCAUCUACAUCUUCAACAAUGGAGUCAAAGAAGAAAUAUUGCAAGCAGGGGACUCUGAAUCUGAAGCAAUCAGAAGAACCACUUAGACUAAUUAUGUACUUGAGCUGUUGGGGACCCAACUGAGCUGGAAAGAUAUGCUGCAUGCCCCUCCAUGUUUAUGAAAUCAUUACUAAGCAUUAUGUAUGUUUGUGUGUGUAUUUCAAGAUGUACACAUCCUGAUCUAUAAUCUUAUUAUCAUCAUAUCUUUGUAAGAACUUGUUCUAAAAAAAGAGGAAAUAAAAACUCUAUGCUUUUACUCUUAGGCCGUGUUUGGUGGGUUGAAUUAUAUGACAGAAUAUGAUUCAUAAUCUAGUAAAAUGUUUCCUAGACUAAAAACAAUCGAAUUGAAUUAUGUCCAAUCAAUUACUAUCCUGAAAUUAGAGCAUAUAAUUCAGUAGCUACUGUCAUAUGGUAGUGCUCUAAUCUCCAAGCAAUAAGCUCUUGGGUCCAUCAACUUAUUCUAGACUGUGGAACAAGAUACAAGGAACAGAAAGCAACUUUACGCAAAAGCUGUUUGAUUAUACCAUAGCAAGUUAGCAACUGUUGUUAUUGCCCCCAAAUCAAAUGAAAAAUGGUAUAUGUCAUUGUGUACGAAACAUGAUUUCAUUGAUUUGGGAUAUUGGAAAAGAUGAGAUGCCUUUCACAAGAGGGCCACAUGGGAGCAUCAGUGGUGGGUUUUCUGUGUCGUUAUCUUUCAUGGCACCACCAGAACAUGUUCUAAUGCUCUAAACAUCAUAGCCUAUUUUAAUUAUGAUGGCCUUAUGCCAUGCUCUCCUCUUUAAGCCUUUAUCAGAAUAAAAAUACAAGAAAGAAAAAAGGAAUCAUAAGAAGAUUUGAAAGAGAACUUUGAUUUGGUGCAAGUGUUAUCCGAAGCAAUAGUUCUUCCACCAAUGGGUAGCUAUAUUGUUGCUAUCUGUCAUUUUCUUUUGUUGUAAACCACUAUCAAGCUGUUAAUUAUUGUAAACCACUAAUCUACAGGAAGGGAUCCAGGUGAAAGGGGCGAGCUCACUAUUCUGGCCGACUAACCUAAUUCACGUCGAUUUUGUAGAUCUCUUUUAACGUUGAGAAUAAAAAUAUUAAUAGAUUAAGGGUUAAUUAGUCUAAAAUCCCGUAUUAUGUUUUUUUUUUUUUUUUGGGGGUCAAGAUAUAGUGCCAAUAUUUAGCCCAAAAGUUUCAAACUUGAAGCUCUCCUACCAACUGCCAGCCAACAUCAACAGGGAGAAUGAGUAAAAGUAACCACCGCCAAUUCCGACAAUCCAAAAAGUCCAGAGCGAAAGGUCUCAUUCAGCCGCAUAUGGCAUUGGCUAUCAUAAAGACCUUUCACAACCAGAGACACAACUAAAACACGCAUUGCACCAAAGCCUCAAUCUUUCAGCUUCAGCCUUCAAUUCGCACAAAACAAAAUCUCUCUUUUCACUUUUUUUCCAACUAUCUCCGGCGAAACCCAUUUUCCGGCUGCCACCGUGAAGCGAAUUUCCGGCGGGUGGGUCGAGAAUGGCUGUGGAAGCUGAGAAAUCUGGGCCUGAUGGGAAGCUGUGGAGUCUAUUCAAAAAUCCAUUUGGGCAGUCGAGAAAUGCCUCUUCCUCUUCUUCUUCUUCGUCGUCUUCGACCUUGUCUUCUAUGCACAAUGUUCAUCAGCUGGGUCAGACUCAUGAGUCUGUGGAGCGUGCGGCUCUUCAUUCUGCCAGUACGGUGUCGUAUGUGACCAAGUCUUUGCUUCCUGCUAGGAGGAGGCUCCGUCUUGAUCCUGCUAAUAAGCUCUUUUUUCCAUGUACGCCCCUUACCUUGUCUGCUUUAAUCAUCUUUGUUGUUUGUAUAAUGGUUUUGAUUUUGGUCAUCUAUUUCAUUUUCUGAGAAUUUUGAAGGUAAAGAGUGGAACUUUUGUUUCUUUUGGGGUGAGUAAUUAGUUGCAUGAUGUCUGUUUUUGAGCUUACACUGGUUUCAUUUGCCAAAUGGUUAUCUGGGUCUUCGACAUUUAGUACAUAGAGCUGCAUUCUUUGUUCUUUGAUUUGCUUAAGUUGCAUGAUCUUUUGAUUUCAUGAGUUAAAGACUUACAGUUGUUCCAAUUGUUAUGCUGAUCUGGUCGGUUCUUAUUGGUGUCUCUAUUUCUGAUAUUCUCUUUCUUUAGUUUGUUUCUGUUGCAUGAUGCAUCCAUUUGUCCAGUGUGGAGUGGUUUGAUUGAUCCUAAUAUGGGUUGUUCUUACAUUGUUAGCAUCACCCUGGAUUUCUUAUAAGAUGUUCACUCAGAUAAUAUUUGCUAAUCAUUAGAAAAGUGUAAUGCUUGCUCAAUUCCUUUGCCGAUUGAUGAUUCAAGCUAGUUAUGUUUUUCCUCACUCUCUGACUGUUUUCUCUGAAGAUGAACCUGGUAAGCAGGUGAAGAGUGCCAUUGGAAUUAAAAACACAAGCAAGUCUCAUGUAGCUUUCAAGGUAUCGAUUGACUCCUCGAGUCCCCUUUUUUGUUUUCCCCCUUAUUAAGUAUUUUACUUCUUUUACAUAUCAGAAACUAGUCAUAAACCAGUAUUGUGAUCAAAUUGGGACAACAUUUGAAUUGAAAAUUGGGGAUGACAGCAUUAGGAGUUUUCUGGUGUCAAUUUGAUCUGUUACGCUUAUUUCCCAACAGAACCAUCUAACUGCUUACAUGUUGGUUGUUUUUUUUUUGUUUAGUUCCAAACAACUGCACCAAAGAGUUGUUACAUGCGUCCUCCAGGGGGAAUACUUUCUCCGGGUGAAAGUCUUAUUGCAACUGGUAAUUCAUUCUUCAUGGUCUUCCCUCACGCACUCUUAUAGUCAUUUUUGGGUUAUUUUUCAUUUCCAUUUGCAAUAAAUAACAUGCUAGCUAUUUAGAUUUUAGUGAGUUAUCGUCUGAAAAUUGUAACUUGAUUGACAGUCUUCAAGUUUGUGGAACCUCCGGAGACCAAUGAAAAACUAGUAGACCAGAAGAGCAGGGUUAAGUUCAAGAUCAUGAGCUUGAAAGUGAAAGGAGAUAUGGACUACGUACCAGAACUGGUAUAAUUGCAGAUAUUUUGUAUAACUUCUACCGUAUCUUAAUACAUUGCUUUUCCACGAUAAUAGUUUUUUUUUAUUUUUCUAUGUAAAUGGAACCAAUAACUACUGGACUUUUACAUUCCCUCAAAAUAAGCAGAGAUAUUGUAAGUAGAAUUGAGAUAGCAGAACUGAGGUCAUUUUCUCUGUUAUCUGUAGCCUGCUGUGCCAAUAUAAUUAGUAAGUGAACGUUCAGAUGUCAUGUACUUCAUAGCAAAUGUUUGCAGAAAUUCUAAUUGGAACUUUCCUAUAAUUAGAACAUAUAUCUUCUACUCUGAAUCAGGUUGAUCUUACUAUAAAUCUCAUUGAUUCUUGAAAAGUUAUGUAUAUUUUUGUUUCUAUCACAAAUAGAAACCAGUAUGCAUCAUAAUUCCUAGAUAUUAAACAUUAACUGUUACAUGCAUUUAUGCAGUUUGAUGAGCAGAAGGACCAAGUUGUGGUUGAGCAGGUUUUGCGUGUUGUUUUCCUGGAUCCUGAACGCCCUACCCUUGUAAGUAGAUGGUGGAUACAUCUCUAACCUGUCAUUUUCCUGCCCUCUGCAUACUUUUUUUUAUUGUCUUAAUUUGGCCGCAGCAUUUUCACUUUCAAUUUGAUUUUUGUAAAGGCGAUGGAAAAACUUAAGCGGCAAUUGGCUGAGGCUGAGGCUGCCCUCGAAGCACGAAAGAAGCCUCCAGAAGAAACAGGGCCCCGAAUUGUAGGGGAAGGACUUGUCAUAGAUGAAUGGGUGAGGUGUUUGACAUGUUUUUGUUUCUUUUGAUAGAAUGAUGAUAUUGAGCUUUAUACAUUUCUUACUGUAAACAUUCUUACUUGUGGUAUGUAUGGUUUCCUUUGUAGAAAGAGCGCAGGGAAAGGUACCUAGCCCAGCAGCAGGUUGAAGGUGUUGAUUCGGUGUAGAGUUAUGUUCCUUUUUGUUUAGAUCAUUUCUUUCUCUAGUGUGGAAGUUUCUAUAUAUGAUUGAAUUGUCGCCUAUUCAUGUGUGGAAGACCGUUGAGCAAUCUUAAAGGUAAAUGGAAUGGAAGCAUGUUUCGUUGUGGAUAGAUGUUACAUUUUUGUUUCUUGUUUUGUUUAAUUUUUGCUUUGUCCUUUUUAUGAGAAAAAUUAGUCUGAAGUUCUGCUUCAGGUCUCCUAAUGUACUUGUAGAUAGCAUAAAUGACAAUAGUGAUUUUUUACAGAACUUAUAAUCUCUGUUCUAGCUGGCUGUUUUGGCUCACUUCUCUCUUGAGAUAUCCAACACAAACACCUCUCCAUACGGCUAAUUUACUUACCAUAAGUUUUCUUCAUGAAUUUUGUGUUCUUGUAGAAAUGUUUGAUGCAGUUUGGGUUGUUUUCUCACAUAGAAUGGAAUGGGGUUAUUCAAAGUUUUGAGAAGUUCGAUCGCUUAUCAAAUUUCAUCAGGCAUGCAGUAAUCAGGUUUUUUUAACAUUUGCAACUCCAAUAAUGAGAACUCUGAAGAAGUGGCAAGUUGUCAAAGGAACACGGUGAUAGUACUUAAAUUUCAAUAAUUUAAUUGAAUGGUCAAAUAAUAUCGGAUUGAAGUGAUUUUUUGUAGAAAUGAUCUUUGAAUGAAUAUCUACAAAAUAGACGGUUUGGAUUAGUGAAAUACUAUGCAGAGUGGGUCCUACAAGGGUAUUUCUCACAUAAGCUUAUUUGAAAAAUCCCUCAACGGAAGCUCUAUAUAUAUAUAUAUCCCCCUUUUCUUUGGUGAGUAUUACAAUUAUUUGCUCCAUGGAAGUGAUUAUAUGGAUUAUGGGUAAGUAGGCAGGUACAUAACAACUCUGCUGCCAUGCUGGCUUACACUUUACGGAGCAUGAUCUCUGUGUGUGUUUUGUCUGAAAGGAUCCUGAAUCAGAUUACUACAACUAUUAUUUGGUAUUAUUCAGAGUUGACAGCUUCAAACUGAGUUGAGAUGUCAAGAAUCUUGCUCCAUUUCUUAAUUAUGUAGAAUAAUGGAAACUGGAUUGAGAUCUGAGUAUAAUACUUAUUUUAUGGUCCACUAACAAUAAAUUAACAUGUUAACCAAAACUUAUCCAUCAAAUUAUAUGAAGAUAAAUAUUGGGGAACCUUGGCCAGGGCUUUUUAUACUGUGACAUCCAAUGGAAACACCAUUUCUUGGUAGCAGUAUAUUUGCUUAGCUUUUUGUCUGCACGUCUAUGAUCUUUGAGAUAUAAACAAAGAAAGAGAUUUAUAUUUCAGGCAUAAAGAAUAUGUGUGCAGUUACUCUAAUAAAAAAAUAUUAUAUGAUGUUGUGGAGAAUAAAGAGAAGAUCUUAUCAACUACUUUGUCAAUGCAUUGGAAUACAAGCCAAUGACACUGGAUGGAUACAGCUGCCUGUAAUUAUAAAUUAAUUUCCAACUAGGUCUAGUACAAUAGAAAAAUAACUUUAAUUUGCAUCUUAUAAGUCUUAUGUUCGAAUUCUCGUAACGUUUUAAUUGUAUGUAUAAGAAACCUUUAUUUCCUGUAAUUUAGACUGUAACUUGUAUUUAAAAAAAAAUCUCCAACCAAGUCGUAAUCCCACUUUUAUAAUAUAAUUAAUAAAAGAAUUGGAUAAAUACCUGCCUGUCUGUAAUUUCAAAUUAAAAAAGUAACACUAUCUACGCUCUUUAACCCUUUUUUGGAAGAUCUUUAAGUUCCGAUCCUACUGAAAUUUGUUUAUUAAUUCUUGCUAAAGCGUAAAUUAUGAAACCCACAGAGAAUUAAAAAUCCAUAAUCAGCAUUAGUGGAUUCGAGCCUUACUGUUUUGGUAUGCUGCACAUCGCCAUCUCAGAUUCUCAGUGUAAAAUAAAAUCUAUCACGGAAGUUCAAACAUACGAUACCAUAUGGUUUUUUAAUUUUUGUUUUUAGAUUCUCAUUUUUUUGGCUGAAGUCUGAAAGCGAUUAUUAUAAAAGCACUAUUUCUAUAUGUUCCGUUCCAGCUCUUACCCCCACUCUCUCUCUCUCUGAUAAUGACCCGGGCAUACUAUUAUUGCAACUACAAUUAUUAUGUUCAUGAAAGCUGAUAGGUGGGUGGACCUCUCCCUGUGAAGGCGACCCAUUUGCUAUAGUGAUAAGAAUAAACAAAUAUCCAUUGGCCUAUGGAUAUGAGGCAAGUUUACAUUUUGAUCCCCAAUCAUUGUAUGAAAUCAUCCUGGUUUAUACAAUCCUUGCAAAAACCCUAUAUCCAGCAACAACUUACAUUCUGGAAGAGUUUUUUCAAUGGAUCACAAGGGUUAUGUUCUCUUCAUCCUAAUAUAUGUUCUUAUAUUAUUAUUAAGCUCGUAUGUUAGAUUAGAUUUUGAUUUUAAUCUUUCGAUUUCGUAUAUCAUUCACGUAUAAUGUAUUUACGAAUACCCUUAAAAUAGCAUAUCAACGUGAAUAAUAGGCCUAAAUUAAAACCGUAAUCUAACAUCAAGGUUUUAAAAAGAUGAAAAUUUUAUAUAUUUUGUUAUUGACAAGCUUGGAGGAUGAUAUGAUACCCUAUAUUUUGAAACUUGAGAUGACGAUGCCGUACAAAACUGAAUUGGUAUGCUACAUCAGCGUGAUGUACACCGUACAAGGUACAACAAAAACCGUCUUGGAUUCAUAUGAAGAAAUAUGAAUUAUGGAAAUGUUGUCGGCCUAGUUUCAAUCAAAAGAAUAAAAAGGGUAGCCGUUCGAUUCCGUAAUUGCAUCCAAUCUCAUCCGUCGAAAAUGGUAUAAAGCUAAAUACUAGCUAGAAACAAAACAUAAUUAGUUUAUUAUUCAUUUUAAUUUGUAACGCCGAAGACGAAGGAUAAAUAGAAGAAGAGUCCAGAGCCCGCUGCAGGGGACCCCACAGCAGCACGUGAUGCCCAUGCCUGCCCCACCCGAUGGCGCCAAAACGCAUAAAAGAGGCCCAACCCGCUCACGUGUCCCUCUCCCUCCUCCAUAUCAAAUCAUUUUCCCAUCACUAUCGAAAAGACAAAAUUGCCCCUGAGGCGACAACUUACUAUUAUACGACGAUAAGUCGUGGUAGACGACGACGUGUGGGCAGGCCGGCCCCAUGCUGAAGAGGACAUAUGCGUACUAUUCCGAGAGACAGAGAGAGAGAGAGAGAGAGAGAGGAAUUGGAUCCAUGAUGCUGAGUCAUCUGAUUCUGAUGUCCUCUGAGAAUUCGGAUAAGCUCGACACCUGUUCUUGCUCAUUGGCUCUCCUUCUCUUCGUCUCUCUUUUAUAUCGUUGUUUCUCGCGAUAACUCUAGCCCCGUUUUAUCUAUAAUUUGCAGAAUUAUUGUAAGCAAACUUUCUUUGUCAGUCUCCUAUAAUUAAACAUAUCUCAUUACUACUUUUCUCCUAGUCUUUGUUUUGAGCUACUUUAGUCUAAUUGAAGUUGGAAAUAACAGAUUUGUAAUAUCUCGUCAACAUCAAAGAAAGGGAAAUAUAACAACUAGAAAAUUAAAUAAUUUGUAUCAAUUUUUUGGUCAAUAGAAAGUAGAAUUUUAGAGUUAAAAGAUGUGGUUUUGUUAGAAUGGGAAAUACUAUUAGAUCAAUAAUUAAUUAUUAGUUUUAUUUAUAUAUAAAGUAAAAAACAGAUAAUGAUAAAACAUUCAAAAUACCAAAAAAUACUUUUGAUUAAUGCAAACAUUAAUAAUUAAAAUUAUUAAUUAAAUUAGAAUAAUAUGGUAAAUUCACACUUUUUUAUACUAAAAAAUUAAAAUUAAAAAAAAUCAAAUAAUUGAUCCUUUUUUUAUGGAACACAAUUACCUAUUUUUUUUUAAUUCUAAAAUAAAUUUGAUUUUUUUAAAAAAAGAACCUCUCAUAAACGAGGAAACGUGUGGGAAAAAGUUGAUAUAUAAUUGAGUCAUCACAUUUUAAAACUAAAGGUUAAGAUCAAAUUUAUUUAUCUUGAUUUAAUGAUUCAAUCAUUCACUUAUUUUCUAUUUUAUCAAUUAGAAAUGGAGUCAAAUCAAACUUAAAGAAAAUGUUGAAAAAGUGAAAAGAGACAAAUUCACUGACGUAAUUCAAUUUUGAGUAAAUUCAUUAUCUUAUAAAAGAAAAAACACAUUAUCUACUUACACAAUCAAAUUCUCGAGAAAUUGAGGAGAAAAUCAAAUUGCGGAGUUUGGACACAAUAAAACAUCAAAAUUAUCGAUACCUCCAAUCCAAAGAAUUGAGAAAACGCCAAAAGAAGCUGGGCCUCCACGCCCAGCCAGUCACCACUUAUCUAUCAAAACCAUUUCCGCUCUCUGAAAAACCAGUGGUUUUUCAGCAAACCCGGAUUCAUUUCCUUCCAUCUUUCCCUAUAAAUUAACGCCAUUGUCCCCUUAACUCACUCUUACGGACUUCACAAACACCAAAAACAACAGCAAAAGCAAUUACAACCCUUAAUUUCAAUUUCAGUUCCAGAGUUUCAGAGUCUAGCAAUCGAAGAUGAACCAUUUGAACAGAGUUUGGAUGGCGGCGAGCGUGGUCGUGGUGCAGGGCCCUGCCGACCAGGGGCCUAAGUGGACAUCCGGUCUUAAAUCCUUCCAGCUAAGCAGGAGGAGAUGCUUGGGUGGUGCCGGGGACGCUUCGGAUCUCCGCCCAUUGUCCGGCGCAGUCGGGUCGGGUUUCUCCCAAGUUUGUGAGGAGAGACGGAACCAGGCCGACGAGUCUAUCCAAAAAGUCAUGUACUUGAACUGCUGGGGUCAGGGCUGAGGUCGGCGGCGAUUGGAAUUUUCCGGCGCAGAAUGAUUGGAGUUUUUAACUCGGGAGUUGCCGUUUACUCUCGGAGAGGUGUGGUUGGGUUAAAUUGAAACGGGUAACUCCACGAUUGAGUUGACGCGGAUGGAAUCUUUCUUUGUAAAUUGUACAGAAAAUCUUGAAUUGUGGAGAUUUAGAGGAAAACCAUGAAUAAUAGAUGGGACCUUUUAUUUUCAUCUCUUUCUUUUUAUUUUUAUAUUUAAAUUUCAUGAAAGGAACUUUCAAUUGAUCAACAAAAAAAAUUUACAAAACCCAAGUUCAUGUUACAAAUUAAAAUUUACAUAACUGAAUAAAAUGAAUUGACUAAUAUUAAUUGGUGUUUAAUUUAGUUGUGCAAUUAGGUGGUAAAAGUUUUCACAACAUGUAUAAAUGUUGUUGAUUAACCAGAGUUUUCCAUUUAUUAUAUUGUAAAAUAAUAGUCG
rnacentral:lncRNA from 1 species